GUUUAAUUAGUUUAAUUAUAAAAUUAUAAAUUGUGGGUUUAUAGAUGAAUUUUCAUUAAACA
rnacentral:tRNA from 1 species